CCUGCCCAGUGACAAUAAGUUUAACGGCCGCGGUAUUUUAACCGUGCUAAGGUAGCGUAAUCACUUGUCUUUUAAAUGAAGACCCGUAUGAAAGGUGUCACGAGGGCCCUCCUGUCUCCUACUUCAAGUCUGUGAAAUUGAUCUGCCCGUGCAGAANCGGGCAUAACAACAUAAGACGAGAAGACCCUGUGGAGCUUAAGACCAAUCAAUCAACCGUGCCUAACAGCCAAUCGCCCUAACAGGAAAUAAAAAGCUAAACAAGCAUAACGACUCAUGAUUGAAUCUGUCUUCGGUUGGGGCGACCAUGGAGGACAAAAAAGCCUCCAAGAGGAAGCAGGGGACCAGUUCAAUUGAUCCCUAAGAGCUAAGAGCUACCACUCUAAGCAACAGAAAAUUCUGACCAAUAAUGAUCCAGGCACUAGCCUGAUCAACGAACCAAGUUACCCCAGGGAUAACAGCGCAAUCCUUUCUCAGAGCCCAUAUCGCCGAAAGGGUUUACGACCUCGAUGUUGGAUCAGGACAUCCUGGUGGCGAAAAUUCUACCAAGGGUUCGUU
rnacentral:rRNA from 1 species